AUUGAACGCUGGCGGAAUGCUUUACACAUGCAAGUCGAACGGCAGCACGGGGGCAACCCUGGUGGCGAGUGGCGAACGGGUGAGUAAUACAUCGGAACGUGCCCGGUCGUGGGGGAUAACGUAGCGAAAGUUACGCUAAUACCGCAUACGAUCUGAGGAUGAAAGCGGGGGACCUUCGGGCCUCGCGCGAUCGGAGCGGCCGAUGUCAGAUUAGGUAGUUGGUGGGGUAAAGGCCUACCAAGCCGACGAUCUGUAGCUGGUCUGAGAGGACGACCAGCCACACUGGGACUGAGACACGGCCCAGACUCCUACGGGAGGCAGCAGUGGGGAAUUUUGGACAAUGGGCGCAAGCCUGAUCCAGCCAUUCCGCGUGCAGGACGAAGGCCUUCGGGUUGUAAACUGCUUUUGUAUGGAACGAAAAGGCUCUGGCUAAUACCUGGGGCUCAUGACGGUACCGUAAGAAUAGGCACCGGCUAACUACGCG
rnacentral:rRNA from 1 species